AUGAACGCUGGCGGCGUGCCUAAUACAUGCAAGUCGAGCGAACAGAUGAGGAGCUUGCUCCUCUGACGUUAGCGGCGGACGGGUGAGUAACACGUGGAUAACCUACCUAUAAGACUGGGAUAACUUCGGGAAACCGGAGCUAAUACCGGAUAAUAUAUUGAACCGCAUGGUUCAAUAGUGAAAGACGGUUUUGCUGUCACUUAUAGAUGGAUCCACGCCGCAUUAGCUAGUUGGUAAGGUAACGGCUUACCAAGGCAACGAUGCGUAGCCGACCUGAGAGGGUGAUCGGCCACACUGGAACUGAGACACGGUCCAGACUCCCACGGGAGGCAGCAGUAGGGAAUCUUCCGCAAUGGGCGAAAGCCUGACGGAGCAACGCCGCGUGAGUGAUGAAGGUCUUCGGAUCGUAAAACUCUGUUAUUAGGGAAGAACAAAUGUGUAAGUAACUAUGCACGUCUUGACGGUACCUAAUCAGAAAGCCACGGCUAACUACGUG
rnacentral:rRNA from 1 species